rnacentral:rRNA from 1 species
UACGUAGGGUGCGAGCGUUAAUCGGAAUUACUGGGCGUAAAGAGUGCGUAGGCGGUCCCGCAAGUCCGCUGUGAAAGCCCCGGGCUUAACCUGGGAAUGGCAGUGGAAACUAUGGGACUUGAAUCUGGCAGAGGGGGGUGGAAUGCCACGGUGUAGCAGUGAAAUGCGUAGAGAUGUGGCGGAACACCGAUGGCGAAGGCAGCCCCCUGGGCUGAGAUUGACGCUCAGGCACGAAAGCGUGGGGAGCAAACAGG